CCUUAAUGGUGGUUCUGCUUUGGCUCAGCUGGCAGUUGGACAGCAGGCAGGCAGCACAGCUCAGCUCCACCGGGCUCACCUGUGCCUCUGCAGGGUUUCCAGGCCACCUCCUCUGAAAUYCCUGCACAUCACAGGAGGGCGCUCCUGGCUCCGGGUCAGUGCCCUGCUUUCUGUUUCUCUGACCAGGCGCAGGCAGGACAGAAGCCUCCCUGGCCUGACACUGCCGUUGUCCUUGACACGGGCGGCCUCCUUGUGGGACCAUCACACUUUAUGGGCACGAGGUUUCUAAGCACUGGUUCCGAGUCACAGCUGCCAAGAGUCAGUGUGAUGGGUGGAAGCUGGAUGGUGAGGACCCUAUGGUGGGGACACUGUGAUGGGAACCCAGCCCGUGGUGGGGAMGCCAAGGAGGGGAGGGUGCCAACAACCAAGAGCAGGCCCCAAACUACCUAUUCUUUCUUUCCCAGAUGCUAGCUGUUUGUCCUUCUUUCCAGAGGUGACCCAGAGACUGAGCCCCAGAGACUGAACUCCAGAGAUUAGGGCCUAGAAACUGGACCCUGGAGAUUGGACCCCAGAGACUGGGCCCCUCAGACUGGGCCCUAGAGACUGGGCCCCGGAGACUAGACCCCAGAGACUGGGCCCUGGACACUAGCCCCAGAGACUGGGCCCUGGAACUUGGACCCCAGAGACUGGACACUGGAGCCUGGACCUGCCAGCAGGUUGUGGCUUGGUCACUUUCAGAGGCUCCAUUCCUUUCCUUUGUGUGGUCACAUGACGGCUUCCUUGAGCAGUUCUCUGAGAACAUGCAGUGGUUCCCAGCUGUUGCUGCAGUAAGCACACCUGUUAAAAGCAUGCUUACUUACAUUUUUGGUCACAUGCACAGACAUCCUGGUAGAAUACAAUCCCAGCAGUGAAAUUCCUAGAGGAACGAGAAGGCACACUUGCACUGUUAACGCCCACUGACAAAUGGCCCUGCAGCAAACGGUCUUGUGACACACACCAAGCUGAAUGGUGUACAAGGGUUAUUUCUCAGGCCUGGAACCUGCAACACCUCGCUCAGGGGCAGAAUCACCCCGUUAAGAGUUGCUGCGGAAUCCCCCUCUUCAUCCACCUGGAGGACCUCAUCCACACAGCACCCCACGCCGUGUCCCCUCCGGCACUCCCAGGGCCUGCUCCUGGGCAGCCACAUCCACUGGGAGGCCGCUUGCUCAUGACAGUCCCCUCCUGGAGCCCGAAGACAUCAAGCCGUCAAGGCGGGCUCCCUCCUGGGCGCUCACAGGAGAAGGUGUGCUGUGGUAAAGGCAGUGCUGCUCUGGAAGGCUCGAGCUACGUAUGUCAGAGGACCACCCCUCCAGUUCAUCCUUAAAGAGGUCAGGCCUUUCUAUCCAGAAAGUGUGACUCUGGGAUUAGCUAAGUUUCUGGAAGGCUCCUCACAUUCAAGGCCUUUCUGCRUAUUUUUACAAAGAUGU
rnacentral:lncRNA from 1 species